GAUGAACGCUGGCGGCGUGCCUAAUACAUGCAAGUAGAACGCUGAAGGAGGAGCUUGCUCUUCUGGAUGAGUUGCGAACGGGUGAGUAACGCGUAGGUAACCUGCCUGGUAGCGGGGGAUAACUAUUGGAAACGAUAGCUAAUACCGCAUGACAACAGUUAUUGCAUGAUAACUGUUUAAAAGGGGCAACUGCUCCACUACCAGAUGGACCUGCGUUGUAUUAGCUAGUUGGUGAGGUAACGGCUCACCAAGGCGACGAUACAUAGCCGACCUGAGAGGGGGAUCCGCCAACCUGGGACUGGGACACGGCCCAGAAUCCUACGGGAGGGAGCAGUAGGGAAUCUUCGGAAAUGGACGGAAGUCUGACCGAGCAACGCCGCGUGAGUGAAGAAGGUUGUCGGAUCGUAAAACUCUGUUGUAAGGGAAGAACGAGUGUGAGAGUGGAAAGUUCACACUGUGACGGUAUCUUACCAGAAAGCGACGGCUAACUACGUG
rnacentral:rRNA from 1 species